GGGAGCCGUGGGUCGUUCUCUCGGGUCCAAAUUAUGGAAAUAGCAAAAGGUUUGGAAAGGAGUGGGCAAAGGUUCUUGUGGGUGGUAAAAAAUCCACCUCGCGACGAAAAGGCAAAGCAAACUGACGAAAGCCCCAAUGUGGAUCUAGACUCUCUUUUGCCAGAGGGUUUUAUGGAGAGAACCAAAGAUAGGGGUCUGGUUGUGAAGUCAUUUGCGCCACAAGUAGCAGUGCUGAACAAGGACUCGGUUGGUGGCUUUGUGACUCAUUGUGGGUGGAACUCCAUCUUAGAAGCAGCGGUCGCGGGGGUGCCUAUGAUUGCAUGGCCUUUAUAUGCAGAGCAACACUUGAAUCGGAACAUUUUGGUUCAGGAUAUGAAGAUGGCUAUCCCUGUGGAGCAAAGACAGGAAGAUGGGUUCGUGAGUGGAACUGAGUUGGAGAAGCGAGUCACGGAGUUGAUGGAUUCCGACAUUGGCAUGGAGCUUAGAGAAAGGAGUUGGAAGAUGAGAGAGAAGGCCUUGGCUGCCUGGGGUCCUUCAGGGUCUUCCACUAAAGCACUAACCAAGUUGAUUGACUUGUGGAAGCGAGGUUGAGAAUCAACUGUUUUGUUUUGUCCUGUUCGCAUGGUAUCUAUGGUGGAUCACAAAUCCUCUGCCCGUAUUGUGCCCCAGCCGUGUCUCCUCUCUAUAUUUUUGCCAUCUGUUUUAUUUCUUUGGCAGUUAAUAUCAACUAAAAAAAAAGAAAAAAAAUCUCAUGUUAGGUUUUUUUACUGUUGACUGUCUACCUCGCUUUGACCUUGUUUUUGGCUGCCUACAUCUCUUUUGCCUUGACUUUUCUAUUUGGCAGGAUGCUUUCAACUUUUGUAAGUUUUUUUUUUAAUUUAUUAAAUUUUAAUUUUAUAUGUAUUAAUUCAUUACAUGAUGUUUUUUUGGAUUUUUUUGAGAGAAGCUAUAUAUGAAUUUUUUUUAAUAGUAAUAAGGUUUCAUUAAACCAUGGGUGUAAAAACACUCACUACCUUGAGAGCAAGUCCCAAAAUACAAAAAUCUCAAGAUGAUAGAAGUUUGAUUGGUGUAUCCACUUGUUUGCAAUAUACCCAAACCAAAACUCGAAGUCCCUUUCAUGGCUACAAGCCAUCCUAUAAAAAAAAAAGAAACGAAACUCCCAGAACCAGAAAGGGGAAGAACAAGAAAUAGCAACACUGAACUCAGAACAACCCCUGUACACAAAAAGUAACAAAAGAGCCUCCCCUUAACAUAGUAAAUCAUCUCAAAACCAAAAAAGUUGAAGAAAAGAUUCCCAACCCAAGAACACUGCUAACAAGCAAUGAAAAGGAGGGAGGAAAGCACAAUCAGAAAAGAUUGCCACAACCAUACUUCAUAAAAAAAAACCCCUUUAAGCUGCAUGUCCCCUAAAUUUUAGAACACACAAAAAGUACUCUGACCAAGACUCAUUGCAUUUUUGGCGAGAGUGUUGGCCUCCCGAUUGGUUUCUCGCGGAACAUGUUUUAUUUCCCACGGCCCCAACUGUUCUUUAAUUCUUUUAAUAAGAAUCACCCAUUUGCGCAACCUCCAUGGCACUUGAGAACCAUUAUUUACCCGAUUAACAACAUUACUAGCAUCACUUUCAAUAAUCAGAAGAUGGCUUUCUUUCCAUUUUGAAGUAAAGAAGAUCAAGAUAACUUCCUUCACAGCCAUGAUUUCAACUUGGGAAGAGUCAUCCAUGCCUAUCAGUUUGGAAAAGUUGAUCUUAACCUCCCCAGACUCAUUCCUCAUAAUUCCACCUAUACCUGUUGGUCCGAGACAACCUUUUGCCAAGCCAUCGAUAUUAAAUUUCAUAAACCCCUGUUUUGGAGUAAUCCAGUUUGUUCUCUUUUUUACUUGUUUAUGUUUCUUCUUCCCGUAACUACCUGUCAAGGGAUAAAAAAAAAAUCCGAAAUUGACCCAUAAUCCAUUGGCCAUUUUGAGUUUGCCCAUGAUGCGAUUCUAAACUUCACAAUCUCCCAGCAUUGCUUUUCAUCCCAUUUCUUUCCUUCAAAAACCACCUUGUUCCUGCUUUUCCAAAUUGUCCAAACGAUGGCGUAAUAAGCGAGUUUCCACAACCUGCAAUCAUAAUUACUAGUAACACAAUCAUUCUAAGAUACAAAAAAAGCUUUAACAGUCCCUGGGGCAACCCACCUGAUAUUGAACAGAUUACACCACGUUCCUUAUAUCUUCCAAGUUUCACCACAUCUGAUAAAAAGGUGACAGCAUGUCUCUUUUUCAUGCUUGCACAAAACACACAAAUCAAAAGCAUCAUGGAGUAUCCCUUUGGCCGCUAAUUCAGCUUUGUCACCAAUUUUCUCAUAUAGAAGUUGCCAAACGAAAGCUUUCGUUCUAUGUGGAGCCGUGCUGGACCAAACCUCUUUCCAUAUCUUGCUCUUUUCAUUGUCAAUAUUUAGUAACAUUCUACAAAAUAAUUUGGUUGUAUUCUUACCACUGGUUUCAAAUUUUCAUAUCAAAGCAUCCUUCAUUUCCUUACUAUGUUGAACCUCUUCCAAGGUGUCCCCUAAAGCGUACCAUUGGCUCUUCUCCCAAGCAAAUAAACUUUUUCGCAAAAGGAUGUUGUCAAGCCCAACUCUACAAUAUGUUUAUUAUGCCAUUUUUACAUAAGAAUGCAUGUUUGCUUCCUUGGGUACCUUGAAAAUCGUUAAAGGACGGUAUUGUAUCAAAUGGUACAAUUAAGUUGAAUUAAGCCUCGAACUAGUCCAAAUGGAGAUUUUAAGAUGAAAUUGAGAAUUUUAAAACUCCAGAAUGACUUAAAAUGGUGAUUCGAAGUUCGAGGACCGAUUUGGAGUCAAAUUGGAAUUUUUAUGAUCUAGGGGCAAAAUGGUCAUUUUGCCACCCGAGGUUAAAAUUGAAAUGUUUGAAGAAUUUUUUAUCAAGAUUGACUAUUUAGAACAUAAUUUGAGUUUGAGAAGUGAAAAAUUUUAAUUCUGGCAUUUUUUCGAGCAUAGGGGUAAAAUAGUCAUUUUGCCACCCAAGGGCAAAAUUGUAAUUUUUCACCACCCAACACUUGUUCAGCACAUGGAUUUUACCCAAUAUUAUCAUGGAUAAUUGAGAAAUUUUAAGUGGUGGAGAGAGAUUGCUUAAUGGCUAAGUAUGACACAUUGACCAAAGGAAUGGUGACAUGCGUCAAAUUUAUAUCCAUUUAUUAUUUAGCUUAAAAAUUAGCACAAAAUCAGCCUAUUUCUCAUUCAUAUGGCCGGCCAAAGAAGAACAAAGGAAGAAAAGAAAGAACAAGAACCCUAGGGUGAAAAUUCAAGAGAAAAAUUGGUGGAUUUCAAGUAAUCAAGCAAUCAAAGGUAAAAUUUCUUGAUUUUGACUUGUGAUCUACCUUUUCUAUGCAUUAUUUUGCAUUUUCCAUGGUUGAAUCACAAGAUAUCAUGAAGGAUUUAUGGCUGACCGAAUUUAGAGAGAGAAGAUUUGAUAGUUGUUUUGGUUAGAUUUUAAGAUAUUCAAGUGUUUUUAGUUAGUUGGUGAUGUGUAGCAUGAAAAUCAAAUAAGAAAAAUUCAUUUUCUCCCAUAACCCAUCAUUGGCCAAAUUUUCCAUGUAGAGUGUGGAUGAUGAUUUUGAUUUUAUUUCAAGUGGAUUGGUUAGGAAAUGAUGAAUUAUGGUGAGAAAAUCAAGUAGGAAAAAUCAUAGUAUUGAUGCACCCAACAUGGCCGAAUUUUUCAAGAGAAAAUGUGAAGAUGAUUUUGCUAGAUUUUAUGCUAUUUGACUUGUGUUUGAUGAUUUAGAGUAUUGGGAGAAAAAUGGAAUUAUUUGGAGUUAAAUUGGACAUAUUGGCCAAUUAAUCGGGUGAUAUAUCGAAUUAGGCCAAUACCAUUUUAUUUAGGUACACAAUUGAAUUUGUGUAGAGUACCUUGUUUGGACGAUAAUCCGAACAAUUUGCAUCCCAUUUCAUGCAUUAGUAAAGAACCUGAAAUAGAUUUAUAAUGGUAUGACACAGUAUAUUGAAUUAUGUGUCGUGUAUUGUGUAUAGGUGGUGAGCCCUCUAAUAAGGGUAAAGACGUUGUGUCAGAGGAUUGAGAAUAGGAGUAUUUCAAACUCUUGAUACUGUGAGUAACCUUACUAUCGUCUUAAUUAUCUAAAAUGGUUUUAUCCGAUUUUGUGAUUUUAUGGAAAAUGAGUUAAAUGGUAAAUCUUUGUGUUUUGUAAUUAAAAUGUGAUUUAAUGAAAUGAUUUUAUAACAUUGUCUUGAAAUNNNNNNNNNNNNNNNNNNNNNNNNNNNNNNNNNNNNNNNNNNNNNNNNNNNNNNNNNNNNNNNNNNNNNNNNNNNNNNNNNNNNNNNNNNNNNNNNNNNNNNNNNNNNNNNNNNNNNNNNNNNNNNNNNNNNNNNNNNNNNNNNNNNNNNNNNNNNNNNNNNNNNNNNNNNNNNNNNNNNNNNNNNNNNNNNNNNNNNNNNNNNNNNNNNNNNNNNNNNNNNNNNNNNNNNNNNNNNNNNNNNNNNNNNNNNNNNNNNNNNNNNNNNNNNNNNNNNNNNNNNNNNNNNNNNNNNNNNNNNNNNNNNNNNNNNNNNNNNACUCCUGAGGUUAACACUUUCGAGUUCACUUCAUGCAAAAUCACCACGUGAGGGUGAACUCGGCCAAUGCCAAGGAACGACUAUGUUUUCAAAAUAAAAACAUGAUUUAUAUGUAUAUAAUUUUUUAACAGCCUUGGCGGACUUAGUUAGGAUAGCCAUCGGCCAAGGUAUCCUUAAUAACUGAGUAUGAUAAUGAUUUUUGGCACGAGCCAAGCUUUUCAGAAAAUCAUAAGCCUCAAUGAUUAUUUGGAUGAAAUAAAUUUAUUUUAUCUCAUAAAAAUGAGUUUGAAAUGCUAUGAAUUAUUUUAUGCUAAUCUAUUUUAUCUGUCUCCAUUUACUUAGCUUUAGAUAUUUUAGAUGGUAUUUGUUUACUCACUGGGAUUAUAUAAUCUCACCACCCUCCUUUCCACCCCUUUCAGGCUCAGGAUAGUCGGUAGAUAGCUCACUUUGUUGAGGGCUACAGUGGGACUUGCAUACUCAAAAAUUGUACGUUUACUACUUUUAUUACUUUUGAUCGUUCGUGGGCCCACGUGUCACUAUAAAUUAAAUUUUAUACCUUGGUUAUCUGUAUUAUAGUAUGUAUGAAUUUAUUUAGCUUUUACGCUACAAAAAUUAUUUACCAAUAACUCUAUAAAUAUUAUUUUAUAAGAAAAUAGAAUAUUUUAUUGAAUAUUUUUAUUAUAUUCAAAUAGUCAUAAUUUCACUUUAAAUGAAUGUUUUAGAUAUCUAAACUUAUUUUUAAUUAUGAAAUAUGUGUUUUCUAGUCGCAUACUACAUUUUUUACUGGUUUUGAGAUUUUCGAAGAAAAAUGACCAAAAUACCCCUGUGUAGUUGAAAUUUCUCUUUGACUGUUUUUGAAUUGAAAUUAGGUCAUAUCACUUUAAAACAUGAUAUUUGAUAAUGGUUACUCACAGAAAAAAUGAGAAACUGAUAUUAAAGCUUUGCAGGGUUUCGAUUGACAUUUCGAGUAAUGAGUGUCGAUCGGGACACUGCGGCGGUUAUCACGGGCUCGAGGGGAGUUUCGGGUCGUGAUAGAUGUCCCAUAACUAUACGUUCCCUGACUAGUUCCCAAAAUCAACCACUUUACCAGUUUUGUUUGAACAGAGCGCAUAAAUCUGAGGAAAUGCAUUAGUAAGCAGAAUACCUUUAAUCCACUAGUCCGUCCAAAACUAUUUGUUUUUACCAUUGCUUGUAACGAAGCCCAGAUUUGAUGUGACUUGCAAGAAAAACUUAUUAGUGAUAAUAAAAGGAUUAAUAAUUCUUUUCCACUAGCUAGAAAAAUUCCUAUUUACUCUCGUGUUUGGCAUAAAGGUGGAUGGAUCCCUGCAAGUCUUUUCCGUAAUCAUUUUCCUCCAUAGACUCACUCUUUCAUUUUUGUACCUCUAAAUCCAUUUGUUAAGUAGGGCUCUAUUUCGAUUCCCAAAUCGACAAUUCCUAUCCCUCCGCAGUCCGUAUAAUUGUUAACAGCCUCCUAUUUGAUGUAAUGAACUCUUUUCUUUUCCUCAUUAUCACCCUAGAGAAACUUUCGCUACAGCUUGUCGAUUUUGUUCUUAACACCGCUCGAAAGGUAAAACAGAGACAUGUAAUAGCAAAGAAGGUUUGCCAGGACUGAUUUUAAUAAGGUAAUGCGACCUCCCAUCGACAAAAAUUUCACCUUCCAACCCACGAGCUUGCUUUCCUCCUUUUCGAUGACUGGGUUCCAAAAACCCAUUGAGUUGUGAUUUAUUCCCAACAGUAAACCGAGAUAGGCAGUAGGGAUUCUACCCACUUUGUAGUUGAUAAAUCUCACCUAUUUUUCAACCAUAUGCUCUUUAAUGCUAAUGCCUAGAAGCUGACUCUUAUGGUAAUUAAUCUUGAGUCUUGAGACACUUUGGAAGCACUUCAGGAUUCUUUUAAGAACCAUCAACUUAUCUAACUCAUUGUUACAAAACAACAGAGUAUCGUAAGCAAACUAGAGAUGAGAAAUACAAAAAACCUCGUUUCCCGAUUCACACUACCUUACAUUUGCCAUUCGCUUCAGCCUUAUUUAGCAUACAACUUAGAGUUUUAACAAUGAUGAUAAAUAAAAAUGGUAAAAGAGGACAACUUCAGUGAAGUCCCCUUUUCAUUUUGAAUUGUCUCAACGAUGACUCAUUCACUAGAAUUGACACCAUAGCUGAACUAACACAUUCUUUAACCCACAACUUCCAUCGAUUGUCGAAACCCAUUUUUCUCAUGAUCAGAUCAAGGAAACUCUAGUAACGUAGUCGUAAGCCUUUUCAAAAUCAAUCUUAAACAUCAAACCCCCAUUUCCAUUUUUAAGAGCAUCAACCACUUCAUUGGCUAUAAGGGAACAGUCCAUAAUUUGUUGACCUUGCACGAAUGCAAAUUAGUUUCUGCCAAUGAUUUCUUCCACAACACCUUUCACUCUAUUGGCUAAAGUUUUUGCCAUAAUCUUGUAUACGCAUAUGACUAAACUUAUCGGUCGGUAGUCAUUCAAUCUUAUUGGACUUUGAACCUUCGAGGAUACGUGUGAGGAAAGAUGAAUUAACGCUCCUGCCUAAUUUACCAUUGCAAUAGAACUCAGCCAUGUAGUUCAUCACUUCUUUCUUUUCCACACGCCAUUGUUUUUUUAAGAAUUCCAUACUAUACCCAUUCGAUCUCGACACUUUCUCACCAUCGCAGCUUUGUAUUACUUCCCAGACUUCUUCUUCUGAGAAAGGUCUUUCUAGUAGCCUUAUUGAUUCUCUUUUAAAGACUUGAAUUAGCAUCUCAUAUCUUUUAGCUCAAGCACUUCUUUUAGCUCAAGCACUUCCUGCUCCAUAAAAUAAUUCUCGAAAUGAUUCACAAUAAUUUCUCUAAUUUCUUGUGGAUAUUCAAAUAUUCCUUCAUCACACUUUAUUUUCUCAAUGAAAUUUCUCCUUUGUCUAGCUGAAGCCAUGGCGUGGAAAUACUUUGUGUUUCGGUCUCCUUCUUGAACCCAUUUGCAUAUCGAUCUCUGCCUCUAUUCCACUUCCUCAGUUCUAUAAAGUCUCCAUAACUCAGCCUUCUUUUUUACAAUUUCCAUUUUUUCUAUUUCCUCUACUGCUUGGUCUUGGCUGACAUUAAACAUAGUCUUCAAAUCUUUUUCCACCUUCUGAAUCUACUUAUUUGUGCAUCCUAUUUCCUUUGCUUGCCACUUUUUAAUUAGUGGCUUUAGACCUCUCAAUUUUCCCAUAGCUUUUGUUUCGCCUCUCCUCAGUCUUGUCUCUAUUCUAAUGAUCCUUUACGAUUUGAUGGAAGCUUAUCUGAUCAAGCCAAUAGUUGAACAUUUUAAAAGGCCUAAGCCCCCAUUUAAAAGAGGUUGUCUUAACACAAUAGGAUUAUAGUCUGAUAAUGAGCUAGGAAGGCAGCUUUGAAUUAGUCCUUGCUCGAUCUGAAGCCAUUCAACCCCUAACAAAAACCUGUCGAUUCUGCUAUAGACCCAACCAUCUCUAAAGCCACACCAAGUGAAUUAAUCCUCUAUUAGUUCAAGGUCAACAAGAGCAAUGUUAUUAAUAAACUCGUUGAACUUUUCCUUUAGUUUUCCCACUCCUUUUUUCCUAACCCUUUCUUGUUCAUUUCUUAUUGUAUUAAAAUCUCCUUUCAAACACCAUAUAAUGUCUUUACUUUAGAUCAGUUGUUCAAGUUCCUCCCAUAGCUUUUUCUUCAAACUCUCUUCAUUGGGACUGUAGAUGUCUAUGAAUCCACAACAUUUUUUCACUCCACUUAUUUUCCCUAUUACAGUGAGGAAAUGUCAAUCUUGCACCUGUUCACACAACUAGAAGAAGUCAUCUCACCAUACACUAACUAAACCCCUUGAUCGUCUUCCCGAGAUAGCAUAGCUUCCAUUAAUCUUAUCCCCUCUAGUUCUCCACAAUUGCUUAAACAAAUUUCUUUCAACUUUCUGUAACUUUGUCUCUUGUAGUAGAACCAUAUUAGGUUUUUAUCUUUUUACAAUAUUUUUCGUCGUUAGUUUCUUUUCGUUCCUACCCAAACCUCUAACAUUCGACAAAAUUAUUAUCAUGUCAAGGGAAAGUACACUGAUUCUCUCAAACAUUCAAAACACUUACUUGCUAUGAGCCUUUUCGGUCAUGACCUCCUUCAUGCCAGUAACAUAGCAUAGAACCUCCUCUAUUCCUUUAACAAACUCAAGACUCAUCAAAUUACUCAUUUCAAAAAUCAAUUCAUUUUCCUUGUUUAUGUCCACACUGCCCUCAUCAGCAUCUUCAUCAUCGUCGGAACUUAUUUGUGCUGUGGCACUACAGUAUCUUCCAUCAUUUUUUCUUUCCAUCAUGUUUUGCCCAUUUCCAUUUUUCUUUGUGCACACUACCUUCCUUCCCCAUUUUUCAUUCCCAAAUUCUACUUGCUGUUUCAAUGAUGUGUCACCCUUACCUAGAGUCAAAUUCUCCGAAAAGCAUAAUUCCUCUUUUUCAUCCUCAACAUGAAGUUUAUACCCACCUUUCCUGCCUUUAAAAAAACCUUUAGCUUUUUUCAGAUUUGCUAUCCCUUUGCCUUUACUUUUCUUCCUUAUUUUCCUAUUACUUUCCCCCUUAACCUUCCUCUUUGAUUUCCUUCCAAUUGUUUUCACCAUAGACUUUCUUCUUCCAUCUCAUUUUGAGUCCUAGCUCCUUGAUCUAAGCCAUUUUUCUGGUAAUCUGUAAAAACUCAACUUGUUCAAAUGAAACCAACGAUCUGGCAGCUUCCUUUUCCUUUUCAAUAUUGGUUUACCUUCAUUCUUUCGAUCUUGAUAUCUUCUUUCCUCGAAUGUGAUUUUCAUUUGCUUGCUUUGUCUUUCAUCUUGCCCCCUCAAGACUUUGAUUGUUUCCUCGUCCCUUGACAACCUAUCCCCUUUCUCCUUUGAUUUGGCCUUGCCCUUUUCCAUUUUCACAACCCGCUCCAACAGCUUUAGCCUCUUGUCUCAUUCUUUACUAAAUUCUGGCCUGUUAAUUCCUCAUUUCCUAACUUGUGGGCUUGACACCUAGCUUCUAAUCCACAUUGGUUUCUAGUUUGGUCUUCAAAAACCUUUUCUAUGAUUGAACUUGUCUUACUUGUUUGGCCUAGACUUCCUCUUUCCCUUAGGUUUGACUCAACACUCUCUAUUCCUUUUUCAUUUGUAGAAUGGACACGUGACUUCUUUUUCAUUUGUUUUGUUUCCCCUUAUCCCGUCAGUGUCCCUUUUUCAAACUUUGAAUUGUCACCUUUUGUACCUUCCUUUGGUUGAAUAGAUGAUUUUACCCUUCAUUUUGUUUUUUUUUUCCUUUUUUGGCCUUACCAACUGAACAUCUUCAGCCCCUCUUUUGGUACUUUCUAUCGCACCCUCCACCCCUAAAUUGUUUUUAUCCAAGCCCCGAUCACCCUCAUCCGAUGUAUCACUAGGCGUCUCAUUGCAUCUCGAAAUUGCCUCACAGCUUAAAACUUCCUUUAUUGAAUCUCUGACUAGGAAACCUUUACCGUUAACCUCAAUUGGCAUGAAUGGAAAAAUAUCUUGAAGAGAUCUAACCUUCACAAGGAUGGUAGAAUAGUCCAGCCUCCACUUCUCCAUCGUGUCUUGGUCUGUUUGAAGAAACCUACCCCAAAUGUUCCCAAUUACUCUGAAGCUCUCCUCAUUUCGUAUGUGAAGGGAGAUUUCUUCAAUUUUGACCUAAACUUUGUACUACUUGACCUCUUCCCCAGCACUAUAAGGUGAAAGAGACGAGAACCAUGGUUCAAAAAUGUCCUAAUAAUGGUUCAACAAAGUCUCUAUUUCUUCUUUGUUUUUAAAAGACACCAAAACAAACUGACCCCCGAUAGGUCGAACACGGGUAUUUACCCCCUGACAGAACAAAGAAUUUUGGAUAGCUCUGCAACACAAAGGUCGUCUCAGUUCCCCGUGCGCACUGCAUUCCAACUAGUCAAGUUCAUCUUUUUCAAUCAAGAUCGUUCUAACCUCUCUCCCACAAUCAUCGUUCUUAGUAGUUUUUUCUAAAAAGCUUCUUCGACUUUCGCUAUUGCCACUGUUUCUUGUGUUCUCAAAGUUUCAUUAUCGGUGUUUCUAGUGAAAGAUUCUUUAUAGGUCAUUUUUCAGUUUGUCAUCGUCAUAUUUAUGAUUCUUCGCUCACUAUUCUCAUUACGUAACUCAUUUCUGUCUCUUGAUUUUUCUGCUUCAAACACCCGAAUUCUUCUUCCAUAAAUCCAUUUGACAUUUCCCCUUUAGAUAGCUGUUUUCAACUCAUUAAUUACUUUGUAUCUAAUGAAAGCAUAUUUGGCUUCCGCAUUGGCUUUCUGUUUUGGGAUAAAGACAUCAACCACAAUGCCAAAUUUGUCAAAGACUUCACUUAAGAGCCACCAAUCCACAUCAAUACUCAAGCUGCCCACAAAAGCAGAGAAGAGCUUGCUUAUCCACUUUCUAAUCCCCCAUGGAUCCUCCUUCCCCCCACCAGAAGUGCUCCAACCAUCUUGCCAAACCUCUCGCUCCCUAAUCCUACUUUUCUCUCUAAGCUUACCUCUCUCUCUCUCUUUCUCAUCAUUGCUUUUUUUACUAUAUAUGAAUAAAUUAUACACCUAAAGAUAGAAAGGAUCGCAUAACAUAUUGUUUCAUUGAAUUUUAUGCUUGUGAAUAACUUUUUUCAUAUUUUUCUUUUGAAAAGCAUUCAGUUUUUCCUUUUAUGUCUUAUUCAUGGUCCAUUGUGUAUUUUGUUCUUUCAUGAAGAUAUUGACAUCAAAUUUGGUUGUAGGUGGUUCUCUUUUCAUUAACUUUUUGAUUUAGGAUUUUUUUGUUUUUUAUAUUUUCUAAACUUUAUAUAUUUGUGUGUUAGUGUAUUGUUUAAUUCAAUUUUGAUGUAUUUUUAUCAUUAAUUGUGUUUAAUUAAUAAAUUUUGGAGCAUAUAGAAUGAAAUAGUAGAAAAAGAAGGUAUGAUUCUUCUAUAAAUUUAAAAGAUAACUAAAUUUAUUUAUUUUGUAUUUUUUAGAGUAUGGACAAAGAAACUACAAAUAUAAUUAAUAAAGAUUAAUUGUGUCUAAGAUUGGAAUUUAAUGAAGAUGAUUUUUCCUAUCAAUUGAACCAAUGGAAAAGUAGAAUCUAGAGCAAGAUAAGUGUUCAAAUAUGAUUGAUUCUAAUAUUAAUAUUAUGAUUUUAGCUCAUGUAAAUAUGUCAGAGAAAAUUAUUUUAAAAAUUGAAAUGAAAUUUGAAACGAAACAAGAUAUUUAUGAUUUUUACAAUAGAUUUGAAACUUGAUGUUCUCUCCAUGAUUGUAACCUCUACUCACCCUUUUGAUAUUGUUUCAGAGCUUUUGCUUUAUGGUUCAUGUUCUUACUAUUUUGCUUUAUUUUUGGCAUUGUCUUAUGGUACUAAGUACCAAUAGGUAAAUCUUUGAUUAAUGGUACUAAGUACCAGUAGGCUUGCUCAUUGAUUAUCCAUGCUAACUUGGAUCUCCAUAUAUAGGUUGAUAUCUUUACUGUAGUUUUCAGUAAUAUUAAUACAAUCUUUAUUUGGCUAAGGAAAAAAAAGGUUGCCAAGAGAAAUUGUAAUGAUGUUUUUGUUUCCAAAAUUGUUGAAUUGAACUAAGGUUGCCAAGAAAAAGUGAGGUAAUAUUUAUACUUCAAAAUUGUUAAAAACAGCUCUGGAUUGUCAAAGAAAAGAAAACACUGGGGUUGUUAGGAAAAGAUUUCUUUCAAGAUAGAACUUUCUAUUUUGGGGUUGUCGAAGAGUAUCUGAGUUCGCUAAGGAAUUAAAGAUGAAAAUUCUUUGAUCUUAUUUAAAUUGCAUCUUUCUAAGGAAAAGUGGUCUUUGGAGCUUUAUGAUUUGAUGAAUUCUUAAAAGAUGCCUUUGACAAGAGAUCAAUGUUUAGGAAUGGAACUGCAAGCGAUGCCCCUUAUAGGAAUGCAAAGAGUUACUCAUGAUAACUCCUGAUGGGAAAACAUCAAAUGAAAUUUAUUAUUUAUUUUUUUUCCAAAAAAUGAUGCAUUCAGAUUAAUGAUGUGUCUUGGUAGAAGAUAUAGAGAUUGAUUUCUUGAAUUUGCAAAAGAUGAUUUCUUCAAGAAGAUUGAUUGAAACGAAUGAUGCUCCCAUGGUGGGUGACAAUGAAUGAAACUGAUUUGGUAAAUGAUAAUGCAUUUAAACUAAUCAUGUCUCUAGGUGGGAAAAGAUUGAAAGCGAUUUCUUGAUUUUACAAGGUUAGAGAUUGGAGACACACCUUACGUCCAAAUGGUUUAGGUUUCAUUUUAGACUUCAUCAAUUUAAGUUAGCUUUUUGGUUGGAAUGUUAUUAGAGCCAACCUUAUAUCCAGGAGGUCAUCCUUAAGGUUACGCAGACAUUGUUAUGGCACCAAGGUUAAGUGCGCAUGUUCGAAGACAUAAGCGUCUUUCAGGAACAUAGUGGAGAUUAGAAACACACCUCGAGCCCAAAUGAUGUAAGUGAAAUUCUAGACUUCAUUCAGUCUUCAGCAUAAACCUCAACCCGAAACGAGUUACCCCAUGUAACUAAGAAAGAUUUGAGCUCAAAACAACCAAAUUUGAUAUAACUUAUAUGUUAUAAUAUUUUAUAUCAAAAUUUAUAUAAAUAAUAAUUAAUUAUAAAUAAUAUGUUAUAAAAUCUAAGAUGAUAGUUAAUAAAUUUAUUAAGUGUAAUCAUAUAAAUAAAUUUUAUUAUAAGUUAUAGUAAUGCUUAUGUAUAAAUUAAAUAUAUAUAAUAUUACUUUAUUAUAUAUAUAUAAUUAAUUAUACAAAUUAUAUGUUAAAAUGUUUUAUAUCAAAGUUUUGUAUAAAUAAUAACUAAUUAUAAACAAUAUGUUAUAAAAUCUAAGGUGAUAACAAAUAAAGUUAUUAAAUGUAAUCAUAUAAAUAAAGUCUAGUAUAAGUUAUAGUAAUUCUUAUGUAUAAAUUAAAUAUAUGUAUAUAUAAUAUAUGACUUUAUUUUAUAUAUAUAUAUAUAUGAAAUUAAUGACAUAACUUAUAUGUUAUAAUAUUUUAUAUCAAAAUUUGUAUAAAUAAUAAUUAAUUAUAAGCAACAUGUUAUAAAAUCUAAAGUGAUAGCUAAUAAACUUAUUAAGUGUAAUCAUAUAAAUAAAUUUAUUAUAAGUUAUAGUAAUGCUUAUGUAUAAAUUAAAUAUAUAUAAUAUUAUUUUAUUAUAUAUAUAAUUAAUGCAAAUUAUAUGUUAAAAUGUUUUAUAUCAAAGUUUUGUAUAAAUAAUAACUAAUUAUAAACAAAAUAUUAUAAAAUCUAAGGUGAUAACAAAUAAAGUUAUUAAAUGUAAUCANNNNNNNNNNNNNNNNNNNNNNNNNNNNNNNNNNNNNNNNNNNNNNNNNNNNNNNNNNNNNNNNNNNNNNNNNNNNNNNNNNNNNNNNNNNNNNNNNNNNNNNNNNNNNNNNNNNNNNNNNNNNNNNNNNNNNNNNNNNNNNNNNNNNNNNNNNNNNNNNNNNNNNNNNNNNNNNNNNNNNNNNNNNNNNNNNNNNNNNNNNNNNNNNNNNNNNNNNNNNNNNNNNNNNNNNNNNNNNNNNNNNNNNNNNNNNNNNNNNNNNNNNNNNNNNNNNNNNNNNNNNNNNNNNNNNUAAUAUAUUUUAAGUAAAUUAUUAAUUAAGUUUAUUAUCAAUUUUUCUUAAUAUAUAUAAAAAAUAUUUUAUAUAUUAAACUAUAUAUAAAUAUAUAAAAAACUAAUUUAGUUUUUUGGGUGGAUUGUUCCAAAAAUUUUAACAUCGAAAACUGAUAAAAACCCAAUUAGAUCAAAUAUUUUAAAUCAAUUAAUCUAAUAAAUCAAAAACCCACUGAGAAGUGAGUGCUCUACCUAGGAAACUAAAUUCUAUCUCUUCAUUUCAUAAGAAAAAUAAGAAAAUUCAUUGAUGUGUAAACCAAGUUCAACCCUCUUGCCCCAAGUCAUUGUGUUUUGUGCUUUUGUAGGAGUUAUAAAGCCCUUUGUCUCCACUACCUCUUCAAAGAAACACAACAAGUCAUAGCUGGGACUGAAGAGAAUCAAGCAAAGAAAGAAAAAAAAAACGCAAGAGACGAUAGUGCUCUACCCAUCGCUAGGCUUGGGCCAUGUGGUGCCAAUGGUGGAGCUAGGCAAACUCAUCCUACAACAGCGAAACCACCAAUUUUGCAUCACCAUCCUCCUUACUACUGGUUUUUGGGACACCCCAAGCAUCAUCUCCUACAUCAAUUCUGUCUCCCAAGCCUACCCAUCCAUCUGCUUUCGCCGCUUCCCAUCCGUCUCCGUCUCCAUGGACAAGAAAUGCAGCGUUGCUGCCAUUGCCUUCCAGUUCAUACGCCUCCAUGCGCCCAACGCACUCCAUUCUCUUCAGGAAAUCUCCAAAGAUUACAAGAUCUCUGCUUUUGUCAUAGAUCUUUUCUGCACUUCUACUCUAUCCAUGGGAAAAGAUCUCAAAAUCCCCACUUUUUACUUCUAUACCUCUGGUGCUUCUUCCCUUGCCGCCUUCCUUCAAUUCCCGAAACUUGAUGAACAAACCACUGAGAGCUUCAGAGAUCUCCCUGACACAGUCUUUCAUUUCCACGGCCUGCCACCGUUGAAAGCCAUAUACAUGCCAAAAGCCACACUUGACAGAGAAGAUCCUGCUUAUCGGGACUUUAUAUACUUCUGUUCAGGCCUCGCACAAUCAGAUGGAAUUAUAGUCAACACAUUUGAAGAGCUCGAACCGAUUUCCAUCAAGGCUAUUGCUGAUGGGUUAUGCCUCGUUGAUGCUCCAACUCCACCAACUUACUACAUCGGACCAUUGAUUGCAGCAGGUAGUAAAGCUGAACACGAGUGUUUAUCGUGGCUGGGGAAGCAACCGUGUAAAAGCGUUGUGUUCUUGUGUUUUGGGAGCGGUAGGUCGUUCUCUCGGGUCCAAAUCAUGGAAAUAGCAAAAGGUUUGGAAAGGAGUGGGCAAAGGUUCUUGUGGGUGGUAAAAAAUCCACCUCAGGACGAAAAGGCAAAGCAAACUGAAGAAAGCCCCAAUUUGGAUCUAGACUCUCUUUUGCCAGAGGGGUUUAUGCAGAGAACCAAAGAUAGGGGUCUGGUUGUGAAGUCAUUUGCGCCACAAGUAGCAGUGCUGAACAAGGACUCG
rnacentral:lncRNA from 1 species